rnacentral:rRNA from 1 species
CAGUCGCCGCGGGAAUACGAAGGGUGCAAGCGUUAAUCGGAAUUACUGGGCGUAAAGCGUGCGUAGGCGGUGAGUUAAGUCUGCUGUGAAAUCCCCGGGCUUAACCUGGGAAUGGCAGUGGAUACUGGCUCGCUAGAGUGUGUCAGAGGAUGGUGGAAUUCCCGGUGUAGCGGUGAAAUGCGUAGAGAUCGGGAGGAACAUCAGUGGCGAAGGCGGCCAUCUGGGACAACACUGACGCUGAGGCACGAAAGCGUGGGGAGCAAACAGGAUUAGAUACCCCGGUAGUCCCUGUCUCUUAUAC